UGGGGAAUCUUCCGCAAUGGGCGCAAGCCUGACGGAGCAACGCCGCGUGAGUGAAGAAGGCUUUCGGGUUGUAAAACUCUGUCUUCAGGGAAGAAAGAAAUGACGGUACCUGAGGAGGAAGCCCCGGCUAACUACGUGCCAGCAGCCGCGGUAAAACGUAGGGGGCGAGCGUUGUCCGGAAUUACUGGGCGUAAAGGGCGCGUAGGCGGUUUUUUAAGUCUUAAGGUGAAAACUCCCGGCUUAACCGGGAGCGUGCCUAAGAAACUGGGGAACUUGAGGGCAGGAGAGGGGAGUGGAAUUCCCAGUGUAGCGGUGAAAUGCGUAGAUAUUGGGAGGAACACCAGUGGCGAAGGCGGCUCUCUGGCCUGUUUCUGACGCUGAGGCGCGAGAGCGUGGGGAGCAAACGGGAUUAGAUACCCCGGUAGUCCACGCCGUAAACGAUGGGUGCUAGGUGUAGGAGGUAUCGACCCCUUCUGUGCCGUAGUUAACACAAUAAGCACCCCGCCUGGGGAGUACGGCCGCAAGGUUG
rnacentral:rRNA from 1 species